AAAUAUGUUUUUGACUUUACAACAAUGGGAUUAAAACAUAUUUUGUCCCCUUCCUCCCUCACCGCUCCGUGUGCAUCCUUUCCAACCACUUCCGAUGGAGGAGGACCAUUUCCUCAGUCAAGGGUAUGGGAGUAACUGCUCUCCCCUGCUAGAACCUCCAAAUAAGCUCUCAGGUUCCAUACAAGAGAAGUUAUAUGAUGUAUAUAAGCUUGUGUGUCAGAUUUAUUUCACUUAAUAUUAUGCUAUCAAGGUGCACCCAUGUU
rnacentral:snRNA from 1 species